rnacentral:lncRNA from 10 species
AUCCUCACAAAUGCAGUGAUGUUACAUAGAUAUAAACUUCAUAAAUAUUCAGAACUAUACUCUUAGAAGUACAUGCAUACUUAUUAAAAGUAAAUGAAAACCAAAUGGGUUACAAACACAAAAUCCAGGGUAGCAGUUGGGAGAGAAGCAGGCAUCUAUGAUUGGGAAGGGAACACUGGGGACUUGAGAGUUCUUAAUAUAGGUGGUAACACCCUUUCAAUGGCUGUUUUAUGUGUUAGCUUUACUGGGCCAUGGGAUGGCCAGAUAGCUGGUUAAACAUUAUUCUUGGGAGUGUGGAGAGACUAUUGGAAGAGAUUAGCAUUCAAACUGGUGGACUGAGUAAAGCAAAUAGUCCUCCCCAAUGGGAAUAGGCAUUACUCAAUCUAUUGACAGCCUGAAUAGAACAAAAAGGUAGAAGAAGUUUUAAUUUGCUCUUGGCCUGACUGCUUAAACUGGAACAUACAUCUUCUUAUGAACAAGGAGCUCCUGGUUCUCAAGCCUUUAGACCUGGACUGGAAUCUACACCACUGGCUCUCUGGCCUUCUAACUGCACCACCAGAUUACCUGAGUCUCCAGCUUGCAGAUGAUAAACCACAAAUUCAUCUUCUUCCAUGCUUUGUGAUAAAAGAAUUGGGCCCUGAAACUUUCUUCUUUGCCACCCAGCAAGAUGUUCAUCCUUGUCAAUAGAGGAUGCUGAAGGGAGACUUGGGGAGAAAGGAGUUUUCUUUUUUUGGUUCAGGCGUGGCUCUCUUGCCAGACUCCAGCAGAGAGUGUUUUCUCUAUUGCUUGGCCCACAGUUUCUCCCGUGCUCAGUUCCUAAGGAAUGCUCCUUUCUCCAGUAUUUGGCUGCAGUGCAAUCCUUCCAGCUCUCUACUCAAGCAGUGGUGGUAUACCUGGGAGCCCAAGAGCAUGCAGGCUGGUGCCCCAGCCCAGGUCACUGUUCCAAACCUCAGGAACGUACAUGCCCAGGACUGCAUAAGGCUGGGCAUCUAGCAAGCUGGCCACCUGACUUUUAUCCCUGCAAAUGUCCUAGAGAUACUCUGGUCCAAUCCAAGCACAAAAGUGAACUAAACGCUGCAGAAGAAAGCCCCUCCAGCACCCAGUUCCACAAGUGCUCAGCAGCCCACAGCUUCCCUCAGCACCUAGAAAGUUCUGAGGCUCCAAAAUUUCCUGCAGUCAGCCUUCUCCAACAUCCCCGAGGAAGACUUCAGGCACGUUCUCCUAGCCCAACACUGCUGGGACUUCUCUGCCAGAGUCUGGCGGAUAAUGUGCUCCACCUGACCAACAAAAGGAAAAUAGCGUAUUCAAGAAGCAAGAAAUUCAACAAAGGAGUGAAUUAGAGGGAAUUCACAUCCUGCCUCCAGGUGAUGUUGAUAGGAGACUCAGGUUAACUACUAUGUUAGAGCAGGAAGAUGGAGGGCAAGAAGAACAUAGCUAAAAAAAACCCCAAAUCUGAUAGAUUAUGUAUUGUGUUUGAAGAUGUCAAGAGGGUAUGAAUAACUGAUUGAUCCACAGAAAAGUAAACAAAAAUAAUAGCUAUCAAUUCCAAGGAUAGUCAACACUGUAUGACAAAAGGACAUAAAAUAAAAUUAUGCCACAUGGCUCUGUGGUGACUAAUAUUUACAGUCAGAAUGCUGUCUACAGUAAUGAGCUAAUCAUAAUAUAUUGGGAUGAUGGAAGGAGGGGUGUAAGAGAGAUAAACCUUCACCUCUUCAUAACAGAAAGCCAUAGGUAAUGCAUAAAACUGAAAAAGAAAAUCAAGAAAUGGAAGUACGAGCAUUUUCUGUAAUGAUGAUAAAUACCAGAAGAAAUAACUAAAAGUAAAAUAAUUUUGCAAAGGGCAUAACGAUACCAUUGCAAUUCCCUGCCUGAUCCAUUCCCAUCUCCAGUGUCUUCUUCCCAGAGGAAACUACUUUCACUCUUUUAGCUAUUUCAUUUGGUAUUUACCACCAUAUUUCUAAAAGUAAAGAUUAAUUUUUUAAAGAAACAGACUGUAGUAUAUCUACCUAUCAUAGGCUCUAUUUCAUGGUAAGUAGCUGCUACUAGUUGCAUGUUGUUGUUAUUGUCGUUGUUAAAUGAAGAAAACUAAGUUGUGUUAUGAGCAUUGGAAUGCAUCAGGAGACACACCAUUAGAAUGGUCAAAUAUUUCAAAGUGCUGCCUAAGGAGCCCUUGGCACUCAUAGGCAGCAACGUGGACUUUUUUGUACUACAUGUCCCUAUGCAGACACAGAGAUAUAAUUAACAGAAAGGGAAAAGGAAAGGGGAGUGAGAAAGUUGAAGAGUCUGAAUGUUAUUUCAACUUAAUAAGAUCAAUAAACUAGAAUUGUCCUCUUACAAGAGAAGAAAUACCUUGGCACCCCACAGUAUUUCAAAUAUGUCAGAGGAUAAUAGUUAAUACCUACAUAGAACUUACUAUUGGUCAAGCAUACUACUCAAGAAGAGGCAUACAUUAUUUCCAUCAAUACUGAUGACAACACUAUGGGAUAAAUAUACUGUUUUUUAUUUCCCACUUUACAGAUGAGGAAACUGAGGAGCAGAUUAAGUAAUUUGGCCAAGAUUAUGCAAUUAGUAAAUGAAGAGCCUGGUCUCAAACCCAUAUAACACAGCUCUGUGAUCCUUGCUUUUUAUCAUUAAUCCAUGAAAUGGGAUCCAUAUAGAACCAAGCUCAGGUCUAUGUCUUUUUCUGCUAUUAGACUCUGGUAGGGGAAAGUUAGGCAGGGAAGGAUAAACUGGAACUCUGUGUCAGAGGAGGUUUCUCUGUGUUGGUGAUGCUGUCAGGUAGAGGGAGGAGGUAAGUAAAAUGAGCUGAUUGUUAGCAAAUAUGCAUUUGAGGUUACUACUGUGCCCACAGCCUACCCUGGACCCACAGUUAACAUAUUAAUGGUAUAUGCUGUAUGUAUAUAUACUCCUCCCAUAAGCCUAAACACAGCCUCCCAGAAUGGGAACCCUCUGUGGGAUGAAGGGGAGAGAAAAUGACAUCAGUCAGGAGUAAGAAGUACACUUAUUUUCUGCUCAAGAGUAGGAAAGGGUCUGCCAAGGGAGAGGGUGUUUUAGAGCCAACCAUGGCCGUGCUAAUGCACCCCACUCAUGGAAAAGUUAGAGGAAGAGAAGGACAAAUCACAGAACCCUAGAUCAAAAGUGCUCUGAAGAAAAGAUAUUUCUUAACUCUCCCGAGCUUUAAUUAUGUUUAAAAAAGAAAAAUUAAACAAAUUUAAAAGAAAUGAAAACAUUAUCAAGAAUCUGAUUAUUAGGGACUGGAGAAGGGAAGACUUGCUGCAAAUGGGUUCAGAUAUUAUACAUUAUCAGUAAAACUGUUUCAAAGCUUGAGUGCAUCCUAAUCCCCACCUAAGGAGACUAGAACAUGUUCUCAGAUUUCCUGGAGAGUGACUUAAGAGCACAUAAUAUAUACCCUUUGGAAUAUAAGCAAGACCAGUUCGUAAAGUAUCUCAUUGCAGAGCAGCUUAAAUUCCUGCUCCUUCCCAGCUGUGCUCAGACACUUGGCUGCCAGCAGAGAGAAAAGACAGAGCUCCCCAGAGACCCACAGAGUCAGUGUGCUUUGCUGCAGGGAGUUUAGCUUUCAAGGAAGAGAUAACUAUUAACCCUUUGCUUGGUGACUGUACACAUCUACAUGCAAAAUGAAUUAUAUUUCAUACAAGAAUUUGCUUUUCCUAGUUCCUGAAUCUGAUGUCGUCUAGGAACAUUGAUUCCCUUAGAGAUAUAUGUGGGCCCUACUUUGG